rnacentral:lncRNA from 1 species
AUUUUUAUAAUGUUAGUAUAUUUUACUGUUAUGUAAUGUAAUAUAUUAUUAUAUUAGUGCAUUUUCUGCAGUGUUUAAACUAUUUAUUAUGCAAACUUAGAGAAGUCAAAAUAUGAAUUAUGUACAAAUCUACGUGCUGGAGUUCUCAGCUAAUCUCUGCAUCUUUGUGUCUUGUGGUUGAAGGGAACCAAAGUGCACAGAGUAGGAAACAUCAGAGAGAUUUACACCCAGUUGUGGUUUGGGAUAUGUAUGACAGUGCAGCUACACCCCUUGUGAGUGAGAGGAGGAAAAAGAGAACAAGCAAAGAAAAUAGCAGACAUGAACUAACGCAGACAUUAGCUUAAGAGAGAGAGAUAAGAGUUCUUGUUCAGAAUUUUCUCUCAUUCAUUUUCUAGUCCACGUAGUGGAAAUCCUCCGUACACCCCUUUCCUUGCAGCCCCUGACACUGAGCUGGGACAGCAGUGCUGGGAACCUCUCUGAUGGCUGAUCAGCACCUCAAGGCACGUCUCAGGUGCUGCCUCAGCUGUCACCCACACACCACCCUGCAGGAAGAUAAACUCCUGCAUCCUCCUGCUACUCUCCCCUCUGCUGCUCUGUCACACUUCAGGCUUGCACUGAUUCCCCAACAUAUUGAGGAGAAGAGGGGCAGGGGUGCAGCAGAGCAAGCUGCCUUCAGUUCCACAGCCAUGAAGUGACACCUGCCAGGCCUCUGGCACGCAUCUGAUCACCAAUUAACAGGAUGAUUUAUGGUGUAACGAGAGGAUGCCCUUCCAGUCUCUCAGGCUGUUUGGGGAAGACACCAAUUCACAGGCAGCAAGGAGAACCUGCCUUCUCUUGGCAAACUCGUCUUUGGCUGCAAACUUCGCUCAUCAGCUCAUUAGUGCCAAACGUGGGGUGAAAAUCUGGAAUAGUGAGGAAACUGGAACUGCACUGGCACAGGGUGGGUUUGGAGCAACCUGGGGUAGUGGAAGGUGUCCUGCCCAUGGAAGGGGGUGGAAUGAGGUAUUUUAAGUUUUUUCCACCCCAAAGCAUUGUGUGAUUCUGAAACAAUUGGGUUUUCUCCAGCUUCAUCUCUGGCCUGAGCAGAGGUGCCCUUUCAGCUGGCUGUUGCCAAGGCUGCAGGAGCCAUGGCAAGGCUGUCUCUGCAGCAGAGAGAUGUUUGUGUCUGACAAUACCUGAGGCAGUAAUAAAAGAACACUUUUAAUUUUAUUGAGGUGCA